GCUCGGUGUCUCUUUCCGGCAUUUAUAGGUUUUACUCUAGUUUUUCAGCAGAGGAGGGGUUAACAGUUCUUGUGUCAUUGACUAUCCCCAAUUCUGACCUUUGUCCCCCACCCCCCUCCAGCCAGCCCAGCAGUUGUGACACCUGUGACAGGAAAAGCACAGCCUGUGAUCGAGCUAGACGGUAAAUUUCGAACUCACUAACAUGCCUUUAUUAAUUCACCUGGUUCCAUUAAUACACAGUAUUGUGCAAUACACACUGUACAGAAACAUCAUGCUGCUGUGUGAAGUGGACUGGGAGACCUGUGCUUAGUUGCUUAUGAAGUGUAUUCAAACGUUAUGGCCUGAACAUAAAUUAAUUGGUAAAAUAAACUCACAUGUAGUUGCUGGAGGUUCAGAUAAUGGCAUAUUCCUGUUAUCAGCCGGUACACCAAGGUUUUAUUCUUUGUUAUUGGAGUAUUAUUAUGGGGUGAAUAAUGUCUGGAAACUUUGGGGUGCAGUUUUUUUUUAUGUAGAUUGCAUGGAAGGGAUUAUUUAAGCACAAUAACUAUUAAAGUGCUUUGCAGUAGUUAUGGUGCCGAGCGUCUCCUGGCGCUGCACCACAAUAAGAUGUCAAGCCAUCUAUGAGUGGUUUGAUAGUAUCCAUGCUUCGGCAGUGCUCUCUGGCCUUCUAUGUUGCACUGAUGCUAAAGUCUGAGUUAAAACUCCUACAGUUGCAUGUUUUGGUUGAGUAAGUGUCUAACCACUCGUAAACAGUUUGUCAGUUUACCAUAGGGACUCUGAGUGCUAUAAGCAUGGUUGCGGUUAUGGUGCUUACAAUUUCCCUUUCUUUUUGUAAUUUUUAGUAGGUAAAAUGACAAUGAUGUAUAAAGACAUAGUUACAUAGUGUCCAUCAAGUGCUUUCUAGUUUUGUAACAAGCUUGGAAAUUUCUUCUUGACCCCAGAAUGGCAGUCAGAUCUCUAUUUCCCCGGAUAUAUCCAUGGCAGCACUUCCCCUUCUCAAUUGUACAGGAACCACCCCCUAAUUAAUUAAUAAAAGAGACUUCCUCCCCUGUCCAUUCAGUCUUUUUUUCCUGUCCACUUCGCAUGGACGUAGUCUGGUCUAAAUGUACCCUUAUCCCAUGGGGAGUUCAGCCUCUCUCCCCAUGGAAGCCUCAGGACACUGCGCCUCACCAAGGGCGACCCCACCUGGAGGAUUCUCCCCUCAGCGACCAGGGAGCUAUGCUGCAGUGACCCUAUAGGUACCAGCUGGAUGUGCCAGACCCAUUUUGGUGAUAAUUCCCCAAAAAGGGUACACCUACCUGCUGCAUAAUUUUUGGGCUUCUUGGCUUUCCCAUUUCCUGGAUGGAUCCUGACAAGUCUCCUGGUGAAGCAAGUGGCAGUUCCUGGCAAAUGCCUGCCUGACCGGGGGUUUUUCUUUGUUUAUUUAUCUCCCUUUAGGUUCAUUUCGGAUAGGUGACCUGCUGUUUUCACGUUCCAGUUUUGGAACGCACGCCAAUGGCGUGCAUUCCCUUUCCGGCACUUCCGGUUUCGGCCUAUCGUGGCACUCACUCCGAUCGUGGAACGCACGACGCAGCGAGGAAUUCAUGGGCAGCUGCAGCCAACAUUUCUCGGGACCACAUUUGUUCAGCAGCAACAUGAUCCUCCUUUAAC